CCAGGCGCGAAACUUUACAAUGCGGGAAACCGUGAUAAGGGGACACCGAGUGCCAGCAUCAUAUGCUGGCUGUCCAGGUGUGUAAAAUACACCUGUUAGCAAGGGCCGGGCAAGACCGGUGCCAGCCGCCGCGGUAACACCGGCGGCCCGAGUGGUGAUCGUGAUUAUUGGGUCUAAAGGGUCCGUAGCCGGUUUGGUCAGUCCUCCGGGAAAUCUGACGGCUCAACCGUUAGGCUUUCGGGGGAUACUGCCAGGCUUGGAACCGGGAGAGGUAAGAGGUACUACAGGGGUAGGAGUGAAAUCUUGUAAUCCCUGUGAGACCACCUGUGGCGAAGGCGUCUUACCAGAACGGGUUCGACGGUGAGGGACGAAAGCUGGCGGCACGAACCGGAUUAGAUACCCGGGUAGUCCCAGCCGUAAACGAUGCUCGCUAGGUGUCAGGCAUGGCGCGACCGUGUCUGGUGCCGCAGGGAAGCCGUGAAGCGAGCCACCUGGGAAGUACGGCCGCAAGGCUGAAACUUAAAGGAAUUGGCGGGGGAGCAC
rnacentral:rRNA from 1 species